CUCCAGACUCCUACGGGAGGCAGCAGUGGGGAAUAUUGCACAGUGGGGGAAACCCUGAUGCAGCGACGCCGCGUGAGCGAUGAAGUAUUUCGGUAUGUAAAGCUCUAUCAGCAGGGAAGAAAAUGACGGUACCUGACUAAGAAGCCCCGGCUAACUACGUGCCAGCAGCCGCGGUAAUACGUAGGGGGCAAGCGUUAUCCGGAUUUACUGGGUGUAAAGGGAGCGUAGACGGCAUGGCAAGUCAGAUGUGAAAGCCCGGGGCUCAACCCCGGGACUGCAUUUGAAACUGUCAGGCUGGAGUGCAGGAGAGGUAAGUGGAAUUCCUAGUGUAGCGGUGAAAUGCGUAGAUAUUAGGAGGAACACCAGUGGCGAAGGCGGCUUACUGGACUGUAACUGACGUUGAGGCUCGAAAGCGUGGGGAGCAAACAGGAUUAGAUACCCCGGUA
rnacentral:rRNA from 1 species